rnacentral:rRNA from 1 species
UACGUAGGGUGCAAGCGUUGUCCGGAAUUAUUGGGCGUAAAGAGCUUGUAGGCGGUUUGUCGCGUCUGCUGUGAAAUUUCGGGGCUCAACCCCGAACUUGCAGUGGAUACGGGCAGGCUUGAGUUCGGUAGGGGAGACUGGAAUUCCUGGUGUAGCGGUGAAAUGCGCAGAUAUCAGGAGGAACACCGGUGGCGAAGGCGGAUCUCUGGGCCUUACCUGACGCUGAGGUGCGAAAGCGUGGGGAGCAAACAGG